rnacentral:rRNA from 1 species
AUGUUACGGGAGAGAUGUGGCCUUCAUGAUAGUGUAUAUGUGACCGUGGAAGAGAAAGUUGCCAUGUUCUUACUUGUAGUUGGCCAUAGUAUCAAGAUGAGGAUGUUGCGGGGCACCUACAAGCAUUCUUUAUGGACCAUUAGUACACACUUCUCUGUUGUCCUAACAGCCCUACUCUCUCUAUAUGGGGAGUUCAUUAAGCUACCUUCCGCUACCGCUCAAGCUCCCGAUGAUUACAAAUGA